CCGUAAAACGAUGUCGACUUGGAGGUUGUUCCCUUGAGGAGUGGCUUCCGGAGCUAACGCGUUAAGUCGACCGCCUGGGGAGUACGGCCGCAAGGUUAAAACUCAAAUGAAUUGACCGGGGGCCCGCACAAGCGGUGGAGCAUGUGGUUUAAUUCGAUGCAACGCGAAGAACCUUACCUACUCUUGACAUCCACGGAAUUUGGCAGAGAUGCCUUAGUGCCUUCGGGAACCGUGAGACAGGUGCUGCAUGGCUGUCGUCAGCUCGUGUUGUGAAAUGUUGGGUUAAGUCCCGCAACGAGCGCAACCCUUAUCCUUUGUUGCCAGCGAUUCGGUCGGGAACUCAAAGGAGACUGCCGGUGAUAAACCGGAGGAAGGUGGGGAUGACGUCAAGUCAUCAUGGCCCUUACGAGUAGGGCUACACACGUGCUACAAUGGCGCAUACAAAGAGAAGCGACCUCGCGAGAGCAAGCGGACCUCACAAAGUGCGUCGUAGUCCGGAUCGGAGUCUGCAACUCGACUCCGUGAAGUCGGAAUCGCUAGUAAUCGUGGAUCAGAAUGCCACGGUGAAUACGUUCCCGGGCCUUGUACACACCGCCCGUCACACCAUGGGAGUGGGUUGCAAAAGAAGUAGGUAGCUUAACCUUCGGGAGGGCGCUUACCACUUUGUGAUUCAUGACUGGGGUGAAGUCGUAANNAGGUACC
rnacentral:rRNA from 1 species